rnacentral:rRNA from 1 species
UACGUAGGGUGCGAGCGUUGUCCGGAAUUAUUGGGCGUAAAGAGCUUGUAGGCGGUCUGUCGCGUCUGCUGUGAAAAUCCGGGGCUCAACCCCGGACUUGCAGUGGGUACGGGCAGACUAGAGUGUGGUAGGGGAGACUGGAAUUCCUGGUGUAGCGGUGAAAUGCGUAGAUAUCUGGAGGAACACCGGUGGCGAAGGCGGCAUCCUGGACCGGCAUUGACGCUGAGGAGCGAAAGCCAGGGGAGCAAACGGG